CAGAACGUAAUUGUACUUCUGCCACCAUCCUUUCCUGUAUCUGAACACGAAGAAGUUGAAGAUCAUUCCAGUAAUAAGCCAGCUAGCGAUAUUUGUCGGAGUUGCUGGUGGCAUUCCGGCAAAGCCAUAAGAUAUAACAGGUCCAAACAGCCUCUCUGGUCCAAUUAGACCCCAAAUGACAGAAGCAUCAAAUGUGACGCGAAAUUUAGGACAGGUCCAAGGGCUUUCAGGAUGAAGAGCCUCAAUGUCACAAAUAUUCUCAAUGCUGCCCAACAUCCACCAUGUAACUGCUAGGUUGACUGUUCCAGCAACCAGUGUCCCAACAAGCUGGAAAUCAAGCAGACAUAAAAUGUGCAAUCAGAAACAUCGUUGCUCGACAUGUUGGUUUUAGCAUGUGUAUUGUAUGAAGGAAAACAUUUUCCAGAAAAUGACUUUUACCUGACAGCCAAAAGUUCUAUAGGAACUGGUUGAUCCUAUUUGGUCAAAUACCUAGUGACAAACUCCUAUGUUCCUUUCAUUACGGUAUUUCUAAACGAGUUCCUGGAUAACAAGCUUAAAGGUUUUCUUCUUGAUGAGAUCGAUAGUGAUGAUAGUGACAAUAUUGAUGCUAGGUGACCUCGAUACUUUCCAUUAAAAGGGGAAAAAUGACUUGCUUUUCUUAUUUUUUUCUCCGAUAGUCCAUUUGAAAUAGUUUCUGAAUUUUACAGAGUAUUAGACAGUGAGGCAAAGUUUCUUCCGGGAAAUUUCCAGAAAAUGUUCUCCUUCGUACCAAGCACAACCUUAAAGAUAUCAAGCGUAGACUCGGUGAUACAAACCUGAGCUGCAAACAUGCAUCUUGGUGGAACUUUCAUGUAGUGCCCAAGUUUAAGAUCAGCCAGGAAAGAGAGAGCAUGAAUGGUUGCUGCAAUGUAGUACCAGUGGCGUCAACAUGUCAGUUCAAAUAUCGUGAUGUUCAAAAGCAAAUGCAAGAUUGUCCACUUCACCUGGUUUGUAGUUGCUUGAAUGACUCCUAUUGGGAGAGUAACAAGCCAAGCAAGACCAAAGGCGAAGAGCAUUCCCCACCACGGCAACUGAACAUCUUCUUUCCACACAAAAGACAUCAUGAGCGACAGGGCAAUGCUACCGAUCAAUAACACGAGGAACCACCACUGAGGCCAACCUGAACAAAGACACUUGAGCAAGAUUUGAAGGCCACCACAUCUCCACAGGAUCAACCAGAUAUCUCCUCAACAUUCCAGCCCAUCCAUACCCCAAUAUCUGCAUGAUGAGUGCAUAUUUUUCACAUAUG